UAAUGAACAACACGAACGAGAGUGAGCUAAUCUAGUUAAUAGUAUAGCUAAUAAGAAAGUGUGUGACACUACAUUAUAAGUAUUCUAGGUUAGUGGUGAUAGGCCUGUCAAACUCUUAGAUAUCUUGAUGAGUUAUAAACUUAUAUAGUAUAGGGCAGCCUGGUAAUGAUUAGAUUGCCAGUUUAUAUAAGAGGUAAUGUUUUAUUAUUCAUAGUACUUAGUAGUAAAUAUUUUGUAGGGCUAGCAUUAGUUUUACUAUUCUAUAUGUUAUUAUUUCGCAGCUUAUCAUACUUUAAUGAUAACGUUUAACUGUUAAUAUUAGUACAUCUUUUUAGUUUAGUAAAGGAACUCGGCAAAUCCUUUGCUCAACUGUUUAACAAAAACAUAACCAUGUGAUUUCCAUGUUUGGCGUAUUCUGCUCCAUGACAACCUUAAAUAGCCGCAGUACCCUGACUGUGCAAAGGUAGCAUAAUCAGUUGGCUUUUAAUUGAAGUCUAGUAUGAAGGAACAAAUGGGUGAAAGCUGUCUUUAGUAGAAAACAAGGAACUUACUUAGUAAGUGAAAAUACUUACAGUUAGAUAAUAGACGAGAAGACCCUAGAAAUUUUUCGGAGCUUGCUAAAUUUUGCAUAUUUGUUUUACUGGGGCGGUAAAGUAACAGCAAAACUUGCUUAAUAUAAAGUCUGAAGUUUUUUUACAGAAAGUACAUAAUUACUCUAGGGAUAACAGCAUAAUUUUUAGAAGUUUGUGACCUCGAUGUUGGACUAGGGCCUAUAAUGUUUAGAAGAUGUUAUUGCUCGUUCUGUUCGAACGAUAUUUUCCCUACAUG
rnacentral:rRNA from 1 species